CAUCUACUCUUUCCAUCCGGAAUUACUUGUCGGAGAAAUAGUUGUAUCUAAACGUAUUUCAGUUCUAGAUACAUCCAUUUUAAUCCAUUUCUGCGACAAGUAAUUCUGUACGGAGGGUAAGAC
rnacentral:pre_miRNA from 1 species